UCUGGCGCCUUUAGGCGUCCGAGUUGUAAUUUGUAGAGGAUGUUUCGGUAUUAGCUCCGGUUUAAGUCCCUUGGAACAGGGCGUCACAGAGGGUGAGAAUCCCGUACGUGACUGGCUGCUUUUGCCAUGUGAAACUCCUUCGACGAGUCGAGUUGUUUGGGAAUGCAGCUCUAAUUGGGAGGUAAAUUUCUUCUAAAGCUAAAUAUUGGCCAGAGACCGAUAGCGCACAAGUAGAGUGAUCGAAAGAUGAAAAGCACUUUGGAAAGAGAGUUAAAAAGUACGUGAAAUUGUUGAAAGGGAAGCGCUUGCAAUCAGACCUGCUUGUAGUUGUUCAUCUAGGCUUUUGUCUAGUGCAUUCUUCUGCAAGUCAGGCCAGUAUCAGUUCGGGCGGUUGGAUAAAGAAUUCAGGAAUGUAGCUCCUUUUGGGGAGUGUUAUAGCCUGUUUUGUAAUGCAACCAGCCCGGAUUGAGGACCGCGCUUCGGCUAGGAUACUGGCGUAAUGGUUGUAAGCGGCCCGUCUUGAAACACGGACCAAGGAGUCUAACAUCUGUGCGAGUGUUUGGGUGCUAAACCCAUACGCGUAAUGAAAGUGAACGGAGGCGGGAACCUUUUUUAGGUGCACCGUCGACCGAUCCUGAUGUCUUCGGAUGGAUUUGAGUAAGAGCAUAGCUGUUGGGACCCGAAAGAUGGUGAACUAUGCUUGAAUAGGGUGAAGCCAGAGGAAACUCUGGUGGAGGCU
rnacentral:rRNA from 1 species